rnacentral:lncRNA from 1 species
UUAUAUUAUUUGAUGGUCGUCCAUCUUCUGAUAGUAGGUAUCUCUAUGGUGCUGCCCAUGCAUUACAGAGGCUCCUCAUGCCAGCAAACUAUUCUAUUCAAUCCCGGAAUGGUUUAAAACGCAAAGUGGAGUAGGAAUAUUCUCACAUUUUUUAUUUUGGAAGUUAACCCAUCCUGAAGCUAAGCAGAAGAGUAAGAUGAGCCGUCA